rnacentral:rRNA from 1 species
UACCCGCUGGAACUUAAGCAUAUCAAUAAGCGGAGGAAAAGAAACCAACAGGGAUUGCCUCAGUAACGGCGAGUGAAGCGGCAACAGCUCAAAUUUGAAAUCUGGCUCCGUCGGGGUCCGAGUUGUAAUUUGUAGAGAGUGUUUCGGGUGAGACCACGGUCCAAGUCUAUUGGAACAUGGCGUCAUAGAGGGUGAGAAUCCCGUAUGUGACCGUGGCUCGAGCCCAUGUGAAGCCUCUUCGACGAGUCGAGUUGUUUGGGAAUGCAGCUCAAAAUGGGUGGUAAAUUUCAUCUAAAGCUAAAUACUGGCUGGAGACCGAUAGCGCACAAGUAGAGUGAUCGAAAGAUGAAAAGCACUUUGGAAAGAGAGUCAAAAAGUACGUGAAAUUGUUGAAAGGGAAGCGCUUGCAACCAGACCUGUCCGUAGGUGAUCAGCCGCUGUUCUCAGUGGUGCACUCGCUCUGCGAUCAGGCCAGCAUCGGUUUCGGCGGUCGGAUAAAGGCCUUGGGAAUGUAGCUUCCUUCGGGGAGUCUUAUAGCCCUCGGUGCAAUGCGGCCAGCCGGGACCGAGGACCGCGCUUCGGCUAGGAUGCUGGCGUAAUGGUUGUAAGCGACCCGUCUUGAAACACGGACCAAGGAGUCUAACAUCUAUGCGAGUGUUUGGGUGUUAAACCCAUGCGCGGAAUGAAAGUGAACGGAGGUGAGAACCCAUUAGGGCGCAUCAUCGACCGAUCCAGAUGUCUUCGGAUGGAUUUGAGUAUGAGCAUAGCUGUUGGGACCCGAAAGAUGGUGAACUAUGCCUGAAUAGGGUGAAGCCAGAGGAAA